UACGUAGGCAGCGAGCGUUGUUCGGAAUUACUGGGCGUAAAGAGUGUGUAGGCGGUGCUCUAAGUUCGGUGUGAAAUCUCCCGGCUUAACUGGGAGGGUGCGCCGGAAACUGGAGUGCUCGAGCGUGGGAGAGGAAAGCGGAAUUCCUGGUGUAGCGGUGAAAUGCGUAGAUAUCAGGAGGAACACCCGCGGUGUAGACGGCUUUCUGGACCAUUGCUGACGCUGAGACACGAAAGCGUGGGUAGCAAACAGG
rnacentral:rRNA from 1 species